rnacentral:lncRNA from 1 species
CAAAAUAAAUUCUACGGUAUGAAAGGAGAACUUGCUGAUCUUAAAUUUGGUAUUAGCAUGGCAUAAGACAAAGUUGAUUGGAAAAAAGAAAGAUACAAUUUUGCUUAUGUAAAGGAGAGGAAAUGGAAGCUCAUAAAUUCUUGGAGAGGAAGAUCUUUACCCAAGGCAGAGAAGGAUGUGGCACAAUCAAAAAAGUUGAACUAAUGAUCAACUCCUUUUACUGGGGAGAGGAGGGACGAACAACAAAGGAAUAAGGUGGUGAUGGUGUGCUUCUGCAAGUGUA